rnacentral:rRNA from 1 species
UACGAAGGGGGCUAGCGUUGUUCGGAAUUACUGGGCGUAAAGCGCACGUAGGCGGAUUUGUAAGUCAGGGGUGAAAUCCCGGGGCUCAACCUCGGAACUGCCUUUGAUACUGCAAGUCUUGAGACCGGAAGAGGUGAGUGGAAUUCCUAGUGUAGAGGUGAAAUUCGUAGAUAUUAGGAAGAACACCAGUGGCGAAGGCGGCUCACUGGUCCGGUUCUGACGCUGAGGUGCGAAAGCGUGGGGAGCAAACAGG